ACCUUAUUUGAUAUAGAAUUUCAAUCGGGAAAAAUGAAAAAGUUCUGGAGAUGGAUAUGUGGUGAUGGUUGCACAACACUGUGAAUGGACUUAAUGCCUAGAACUGUGCACUUGGUUACAAUGGCAAGUCUUUUAUCACAAGUAAAAAAUAAGCUAUUCACAAACACUGGUAUUUUAUUACAAGAAACAAAUUACCUGUAAUAUAGUCACACGUGAGGGAGCACCUGUACAUCUACUGAAACACAUUAUUCUCAUCAUCAGCAAAGCCUUGGCUCAGUCGUUGGUUGGAUUCAUUCGCAAAAAUUUCCAUUCACAGUCACUUAUUCUUCACAACUGAGUCAGCUGGGUAGAUCACCUAUUUGAAUGAAAGCAGGGGGAAAACUGCGUUAAACAGCUUCAUAUUACGACAGAUAUAAAAAUCACAGUUUGGGGCCGCACACACACAUAGGCACGCACCCACACAUGCACACACACGCAGGCGCGCACGCGCGCACACACACACACACACAACACACGGAGGGUUAGGAAACAGCCUGUCAUUUUGGCUGCAGAGGCAGGGGUUUUGAUUUCCUUGGCUUCAGCGCUGUGCUUGGAGCGGGGCCAUCAGGAGAAACUGAGCAAGUCCAGGGGUCCAUCGACCUUGGGCUGGAUCCAUCAAGGACACAAAAAACAGACUGCCCAGCCCUCCCCCCCUAGGGGCACAGACAAAAGUGUCGUUAAUACUGAAGCUGUGAAAGCUUCAGAAGGUCCCAGGGGAGGAAACUUGGCAUGAGCGGCGAAGCGUCGGGAGCGCCCGGCGGGUGCGGUCCAGGCCUGGGCGUCGUCCGCACCGCGCGCUCCCUCGGGGGAAGAAAGGGGCAGCCGGCCCGCAGGCUCUGCGCGGCAGGCUCCCCAGCGUCUGCGGGGUCUCUCAAAAGGGCGCCGCCUGUGGAAAAAGGCUCGUGGUGUAUGUGGAAGGGGAAGUCAAGGUAACCGUGCCUUGACGAACAAGGCCGGGGAGAAACGCACGACAGUCGUGUCAGAGCUUCUCCGGCUGCUUGGCUCCGCCGUCGUCCAGGCGCUCAGUCCCCGACCCCUGGCGACGCCGGGGCCGCAGCACGCCAGGCCUCCCUGCCCUUCACCGUCUCCCGGAGCCUGCGCAGACGGCUGACAGGUAAUUGCUUACCUCCCUUCCCGCCGUCUUCUGUGCUGGUAACGUCUCCUACAACCACAGGGCGGGUUCAGCACUCGCGGGCGCGUCCGGACCCCAGCCCUCGGCGGGCGGGCCGGCCGGGCGUGUCUGGCGGGGGAGAAAGCCGGCGGCCGAGCGGGAGGGCACCGUCGGGAAGGCUCCGCGGCCUCACUCACGGCUUCUCCCGCAGGCCCUCUGCUUUCCCUGAUCGCGCGCCCAUACAGCGAGAACCACAGCUGCAGAUGGGUUUUCCUCAGAAGAACGCCAGCGCGGGACUCCGGGGCCUUCCCCCAGACGCCUUCCCGGCGCCCCUCCUCAGACCCCGUCUGCGCGCUUCAGCCUGUGGCCCACGUUGCGGCUGGGGUGGGGCCUCCGUUUUCUGCUUCCGCUUAAACCGUCCCUCCUGCCGCCUCGCCGAGUGUGGACCGUGUUGCUCAGGCCAGCCACCGCUGUGGAAAACGGCCAAGACAGGUUGUCCUUGGGAGACACUCGGUUCAUCCUGGGAAGAUAAGA
ensembl:lncRNA